rnacentral:lncRNA from 1 species
AGAUAACAUUGUUCUAUGAAUAUACACUAAUCUGGGUUAUUAAAAAACUUCACAAUUAAAAAACAAAAUAGAACCCUUGCAUUAGUUAUCCAGUCAUUGUUUGGAUGUUUGGGAUACACCCAGAAGAGAUUUAUAAGGACCUUUUUAGUUGUGAUUACUCUUUUCAAUAAGAUUGCACAAGGUGAAAUUUAUGUUUAUCAGAAGUUAAAACAGAGGUCAUAGUUAUUCAUAGAGAAAUGGCUUUCCUGUUAUUUUCCUUACCAAGUUGAAAUUUGUCCCAGUUUUU